UCGAAUCCCGGGCAGGUUUCA
rnacentral:snRNA from 1 species